ACAACAGAGACCACAAGGAAUUAGUCUGAGUGAAGUGUCAUUAAGGUAUUGUGUGCGCUGCCAACACACACACACAUAAAAAGUUCCUCUUUGCUCUUUUCUACAUCUGAGUUGCCAGUAAGUAGAUACAGAAGCACAAAACUAUAUUGGAAGACAAACAGACAAAAAAGACAGUCGAAGAAACAAACAGACAGAAGAGUUCUACUACUGGCAUUCAGAGGUCACAGGAUCAGAGGCGCCAAGGCCCCGCUGCCUGCCUCUCACACGCCAAAUGGAGCUUCGGAGCACGCAACAAAUCUAAGAAUCCUUAUCUAACGCGUGACUGACGGUGUUGUCUCGCCAUGUAGUGAGGUGUUCUCAGGGACACAGCAGAACAGCAACGAAUAUACCAACGAUGGUAGUGAUUUGCUCAUCUAACCCAGGAUCGUGGGCGCACCGAGGCGUUGACACCUAUUCCCUGAUAGAUUCCGGUUCGCUGUUAAUCCUACUCAGAAUAGAUUUGAUGAAGUAAGACAAGUGUUCCCUCCAGAUGGCGAGCAGCACAGGAAGACCUUCGUCUUACAUCCAGACUGGUGGGAAACACGUACAAUGAAGAAUGCCAUCGCCAUCAUGAAACUGUCAGAGCAGCUGAAUCUGCAUGCAGUGUUGUGUGUGUGUGUGUGUGUGUGGGGCGGGGGGGAGGGAAGACAAAAUUAACGGUCUGUGUUCUGCAGAUGAAUAAGUACAUUGAUUGGAUCACUCAAGUCAGGUUUCAACGAUAGUCUCACCACACAGCUGUCCCUCACCACGCAGCUGCCGUGCCCCGACACAGUGCAUUGUUCUUCUGUCAAGGACGGACGGCAA